rnacentral:rRNA from 1 species
UAGGCGCACGGGUGAGUAACACGUGAAUUAUCUACCCCCGAGUGGGGAAUAACUGAGAGAAAUCUUAGCUAAUACCGCAUAACACUUACGAGUCAAAGCAGCAAUGCGCUUGGAGAGGAGUUCGCGGCCGAUUAGUUAGUUGGCGGGGUAAUGGCCCACCAAGACGAUGAUCGGUAUCCGGCCUGAGAGGGCGCACGGACACACUGGAACUGAAACACGGUCCAG